rnacentral:rRNA from 1 species
UACAGAGGUCUCAAGCGUUGUUCGGAUUCAUUGGGCGUAAAGGGUGCGUAGGCGGCGCGGUAAGUCGGGUGUGAAAUCUCGGAGCUUAACUCCGAAACUGCAUUCGAUACUGCCGUGCUUGAGGACUGGAGAGGAGACUGGAAUUUACGGUGUAGCGGUGAAAUGCGUAGAUAUCGUAAGGAAGACCAGUGGCGAAGGCGGGUCUCUGGACAGUUCCUGACGCUGAGGCACGGAAAGGUCAGGGGAGCAAACGGG